rnacentral:rRNA from 1 species
GACGAACCGUGCGAACGUUGUUCGGAAUUACUGGGCGUAAAGGGCGCGUAGGCGGCCCGUCAAGUCCCGUGUGAAAGCCCCCGGCUCAACCGGGGAACGGCGCGGGAAACUAGCAGGCUUGAGUUCGGGAGAGGGAAGCGGAAUUCCGGGUGUAGCGGUGAAAUGCGCAGAUAUCCGGAGGAACACCGGUGGCGAAGGCGGCUUCCUGGACCGACACUGACGCUGAGGCGCGAAAGCUAGGGGAGCAAACGGG